UACGUAGGGGGCUAGCGUUGUCCGGAUUUAUUGGGCGUAAAGAGCGCGUAGGCGGCCGUGUAAGUCCGACGUGAAAUCUGGAGGCUCAACCUCCAGCGGUCGUUGGAAACUACCUGGCUAGAGUCCGGAAGAGGAGAGUGGAAUUCCUGGUGUAGCGGUGAAAUGCGCAGAUAUCAGGAAGAACACCGAUGGCGAAAGCAGCUCUCUGGGACGGUACUGACGCUGAGGCGCGAAAGCGUGGGGAGCAAACAGG
rnacentral:rRNA from 1 species